GCCGACGUGGCCCAACCAGCAGAGGCAGCCGCUUCAAACCCGGCGAGUUGGGGGUGCGAAUCCCCCCGUCGGCA
rnacentral:tRNA from 1 species